UUAAAUUGAAGAAGGAAGGAGUCCCUGUGGUGUUUGUGCCGGGGAUUCUGACUGGUGGGCUUGAAUUGUGGGAGGGUCAUCAUUGUGCAGAUGGGCUUUUUCAGAAAUGUCUUUGGGUGGAACUUUUGGAGAAGUCUAUAAGAGAUCUGUAAGGAUAAAGCUCAAGCAGAAUUAGACGUUCCUACAGGAGCAAAGUGCAUUAGAGGUUCUAAGAGUGAUACUUCUAAAGUUCCAACACGUUUCUUGGAGAGUUUCUAAAAGUAACCCCUAUACCAUAUCCAAAACAAGUAUUGAGAUAUGAAUGUGGUUUUUAUGUACAUUAAUGACAUUGUGAAAGCUGGAAGAUUUGAGAUGAUUCUAAAAGAAAAGUUUGGAGGAAAGUCAAACUACGAUGAGGACACAAAUUUGCUACAACACCAACAUCAAUGGUUAUCAAAAUUGAAACUUAUUAUGUAAUUUUAUUUGUAAGGAUAACAAAUAUACCUUAAUUUUGUUAUUUUAUAAUUAAAUUGUAUUUUUGUAAAGUUUAACUUUUUAUAAUAUAAUUAAAUUCAUGUUUAUUUCAAA